rnacentral:lncRNA from 1 species
UUUGUUACAUUUAAAGCAAACCAUGAAAUACUUUUUAGAUGAAUUGUAACCAAUAUUCUAUUUUCUUAAUGAAUUGUAACCAAUUUUAAUUUUAUUAAAAAUAUUCUUUUGAUUAUUUAAAAUUGCUUGAAGCUUUAGAGAUCCAAUGUAAGUUUUUCAAUCAUGGACUUCAAGUUUUCUAUCUUUUUUCUCAAUUUUAUAUUUUCUUCCAAAAG